UCCCAGUGUCAUUUCCAUAUCCUGGGCUC
rnacentral:piRNA from 1 species